UACAAUGUACACCAAAGUAGUGACCGUAAUUUAUCGUGAGUUACCAAUAGAUAUUAUGCUCAUUACUUUGGAUAUGUUGUU
rnacentral:pre_miRNA from 1 species